GGAUUGUUCACCCACCAAUAGGGAACGUGAGCUGGGUUUAGACCGUCAUGAGAUAGGCUAGUUUUACCCUACUGAUGACUGUGUCGCAAUAGUAAUUCAACCUAGUGCCAGAGGAACCGUUGAUUCGCACAAUUGGUCAUUGCGCUUGGUUGAAAAGCCAGUGGCACGAAGCUACCAUGCGCUGGAUUAUGACUGAAUGCCUCUAAGUCAAAAUCCGGGCUAGAAGUGACACACGUGCUCGCCGCCCGCUUGCCAACCCGCAGUAGGGGGCAUCCAGCCCCCAAAGGUACGUGUCAUUGGUGAAGCCCGCGUGGCGGAUGAGUCGUGCGGGCCGCCUUGAAGUACAAUUCCUAUCUAGAGUGGCGGGUAGAAUCCUUUGUAGAUGACUUAAAUACGCGAUAGGGUAUUGUAAGUGGUAGAGUGGCCUUGCUGCCACGAUCUACUGAGAUUCAGCACUGCGUCGCUCCGAUUCGUCCCUCCC
rnacentral:rRNA from 1 species